rnacentral:rRNA from 1 species
AAUGAACGCUGGCGGCAGGCCUAAAACAUGCAAGUCGAACGCCCUAGCAAUAGGGAGUGGCGCACGGGUGAGUAACAUGUGGGAAUAUGCCUUUUGGAACGGAACAACGUUUGGAAACGAACGCUAAUACCGUGUGGUCCCUCCGGGGUAAAGAUUUAUCGCCAAAAGAUUAGCCCGCACUAGAUUAGCUAGUUGGUAAGGUAAUGGCUUACCAAGGCGACGAUCUAUAGCUGUUCUGAGAGGAAGAUCAGCCACACUGGGACUGAGACACGGCCCAGACUCCUACGGGAGGCAGCAGUUAGGAAUAUUGGACAAUGGGCGCAAGCCUGAUCCAGCCAUGCCGCGUGAGUGAUGAAGGCCUUCGGGUUGUAAAGCUCUUUAGUCCACGAAUAUAAUGACUGUAGUGGAAGAAUAAGCCCCGGCUAACUUCGUGCCAGCCGCCGCCGUAAUAC